CUUGGGCACUACAUGAGCUUCAAUUUGUACUAUAUAGAAGACUAUGGUUAGUCAUUUGUGUCCAAACUUUUAUACUCAUGAAAACUAUAGAACUAAUGUUAGACUUUCAAUAGAUGAUCAGAAUUUUCAACACUAAAUUGGAUUUACCUAGCUCUUGCCUCACUUGAAUCCUUUUUUUCUUUGUUUUUACCUCCUUUUU
rnacentral:lncRNA from 1 species